GAGUUAGUUUUCUGUAUUGUUCAGUGAAGGAUCUUAAUAAAACCGUGUACGCAAAAGUGGAUACAGAUGUCUAGAAAAUGAGAUUGAGAGAAUGUGCAAAAUGGCAGAGCCACAAUAAUUAGAGGGGCAAUGCAAAGCUGUUGAAUGCAGGACUAUAGAAGAAUUACAGAAACCUUUGCAUAAAAAGAAGAAGCUGCAUGAACAUCAUCAAAUGCUUAGCUGGAAAGCCAGUAUUGAGCAAGAAAUGGAAGGCUGAAAGGUGGACAGGAUAUAUGGAAAGGCUAUACAAAGAAAAGAAGAAGUAGAUGAGAUGGGAUAUAUAAUACUGCUAGAAAAAUUUGACAGAAUGCCGAAAGCCAAGUCAAACCAAAGCACGUGUAGCAGAAGACACUUCCUCAGAAUGUUCCUGUUGCAUGGACAUUCUCAUUUUUGUAGAUUCUGAUAUGGCAAAACUUUCUGACAAGGAAAUUGAGCAGGUUCUACUAGAGCUCAAUGAAAGUGACCUUUCAGAGCUCUCAGACAGUGAAUAGUCUGGAGCUGAAACUGUUGGAGAUACAGCAGAUACAAGGAAUGAAGAAGCACAAUAGGAGUGCCGGAACUCACAACAUGAAAGAGAGACUCUAAAACCCCAAAAAGAAGUUUCACAACUAGAAAAUGGACAGCCGCUAGGUAACUUCAAAUGGAAAAAUGCCUUUCACUUGCAUUGACACUACUUUCAGUGGUCCAGAUAUUAGAGCUGAUGAAGAAGUAAGAAGUCCUGCUGAAUGUUUUUCAGAAUACUUCACUAAUUAUUUUCUGUAAUUGCUUUCAGGACAAAGAAAUGUAUAUUCAGUGUAGAAAAAUGGAGUGCCAGUAAAAUGUACCAUCUCUGAAAUACGAAAACUGAUUGGCAUACAUAUUUUAAUGGGUACAUUAAGAUUUCCUUGAUUUUGUAAGCAUUGGGAGCCUCUUGCAAGAAUACCUUCGAUUGCAGACAUAUUUUCUGUAAACAGAAUAUUCAAACUGAGGAAUCAUCUUCAUUUAAUUGACAAUAUAGAAAGUGGCCCUCCAGAAGACAAACUCUGGAAGGUGAGACCACUGCUAAAUAGAACUUGUAUCAGUCUAAAACAAGUAGAAAGGCAAAGUAUUGAUGAACAAAUGAUCCCUUUCAUAGGAAGGACUGUAAUGAAGCAAUUUGUUGGUCUAAAAAAUUUGUCGCGUACUUUCCAGAAUUGUCUGAUUUUGAGUACAAAAGUACAGGAAUUCUAAGUGACUACAAGUACCUGGGCCUUGGUGGUUCCAUUGUGAUGUGACUUGAGUGAACACAUUCCACCUGGUUGUGGGUACAAACUAUAUUUUGGUAAUUAUUUUACAUCUAUGUCCCUGGUGCAUGGACUGUUGAAAAAGAUCUUUUCGGUUGGGAAUAUCACAACUAAAUGGUUACAAAAGUGCCCACUGAAAUCCAAAACUGUACUGAAUAAGGAAGGAAGAGAGUCUGCCGAUGCCUGUGUGACCACAGAAGAAGAUCUCUGUGUCGUUUGCUGGCUUGAUAAUAGUGCUGUCACUCUCAUUUCCUCAUAUGUGGGAGCAGACAUUAUCGGUAAAGUAAAGAGGUGGCGUGCAGCACAGAAGUAACAGUCCUAAGACCAGCUAUCGUAAACGAUUACCGUGCAUUUAUGGACGGCGUUGAUAAAAUAGAUUUUUUGAUUUCUCUGUAGAGAAUACACACAAAAGCUAAGAAGUCACCUGUAAAAGUAAUUUUUCACAUGGUCGAUGUCUCCAAAUGCAACUCAUGGCUACAAUACCCGAGAGAUCUGGAUGCCUAAGCAAAAGGACGUAAACAGAAAAUGAAUCUGCUGAAGUUCAGAAACCAGGUAGCUGAAGCUUUAAUUCUAAUGGAGAAGAAGAACAGCUCCACUUUGAGGAAAAGAGGAUGUCUACGAUUGACUGAGGAUGAGUUUGAAGAUAAAGAACCCACAUCAGAUGUGGUAAAACCAUCACAGAGGGAGGUGAGGCCAGUUUCAGAUGCCAGAUAUGAUGGGUUUUCUCAUUGGCCAUAUUUUGUUGAAGGGAGGGAGCGAAGCUGCAAAUUAGAAGAAAUGCACUGGCAGAAGUCGAGUUCAGUGUUCCAGAUGCCAUGUAACACUUUGUGUGAUCAAUAAUAAACUGUUUUGUUAAGUUUCACAUUAAAUAAUCUGUCGCAAUAAAUUUUGUCACUUGACAUUAUUUCUGUACCAAAAA